AUGUGGACCUGUCUUCGUCAGCGCUAUGAGCCCUCUGGUGAUGCCUUAUACCUUUCUGUGGUUCGUCAGGAGCAUGCUCUUCAGCAGGGUGACUCUACUGUUGAUGACUUUUAUGCACAGAGUUCUGCUAUCUGGCGCCAGCUUGAUUAUCUCCGCAGUGCUGGUUGUCGUACUUGCCCCUGCUGCCAGGCUGUCCAGGCCGAUUUGGAGUUUCAUCGCGUCUACGAGUUCUUGUCUCGGCUCCGUAAGGAGUUUGAGCCCCGGCGUGCUCAGUUGCUUGCUCGUGGCCGUAUUUCUCUCAUGGAGGCGCUUUCAGAGAUUCGUGCUGAGGAGACUCGCCUACGUGGUGCUGGUUUGCUGGACGUUCCCUCUGUGCUCGCUACUCGGGUUUCUUCCACUCCACCUGCUGCACCGCCCCAUUCUCGCUCGAGUGCUCCGCCGCUCUUGCCCACUCCUUCUGGAGGCUCCGGUCGCCCCCGUUCACAUUGUGACUACUGCAAGAAUGAUGGUCAUAUUGAGUCCCAGUGCUACACCAAGCGGAAACACCUGCGCAAGGCGCGAUCAUCAGGGACU
rnacentral:rRNA from 1 species